GAGAUAUUUUGGCCUGGGUAUAGGGAUGCGCAAAAGAAAAAACGGUGAUCGAAACCUGACUCGACAAAUAAACCCGAAGCCAGGUAUUAGAAAAAGCCGGCUAUAUACUGGUUCCAUAUCAUAUGAUUUGAAAGUGGUUUCAACCCAGUUAUACCCGACUUGAACCGGUCAAAACCUGAUCACUUCCUCUCUAAAACCUGGUUCUCUACUCGACCCAGGUAUUGCCAUACCCGGUUUUUGACCUUGUUGACCAAACCCUUAACCGGUUUCAAUGCAGAACCAGGUAUGGUCCAAUCCCUGAUUUGUGCACCACUAGGUCCGGGUGUGGGUAUAUUAUAUAUACCUCUAAUUUUUAACAUUUCUGUGCAAUUAGGUUUGUACAUUAUGUUGUAGUGCUUUUCUCUGCAUAUUUGUGGUGUACUUUUUGGUAUGUGGGUUGUACCUUUUCUUUGCAUACCACGUGUACUCACAUAAUAUAAUCAGGUCAUUGUUUGAGGGAAAACCAUCAAUCAAACCCUUGCUCCUGAUCAGAUUAGAGAUAUACAGAGAGGGAGGGCGAUAGAAAGAUUAUAGAAAGAGAGAGGGAAUCGAUUCCAUAGUGGUUUGAUGGCGGUGGAUUGAGCCGGAGCUGCGGAGACGGUGGCCGGUGAUCGCUGCGUUUGUUUAUUAGGUGAGGUGAGCGCACGUCGCAACACUGGGAGGUACACCUUUGAGGUGAUAUGGUUGAAGACUCAUUAGUCAAUUUUCCUCUGUCAGGUGUGUCUCUCUUCUUUCAGAUGACCACCGUCCAUUUAGGGUCCGUUCCGGCACAAUAGAUCGGAAACCACAAACCUUGUGUCAGGGGGCAAGAGAAAGAGAGAGAAAGACCUUACGGUGUACAGAAAGAAAGAAAGAGAAAGACAAGCGGUGGGGUUUAGGGUUCCGGCCUUUUUCAAAAAGAGAGAACGGUGUAGCGGCUCCGGAAUAGAGAGAGAGAGAGAGAGAGAUAGGAGGGUGACAUUUCAGAAUCCCGAUCUGCUGUUGAAAGACGCAAGGAAGCAGGUGCCCACUUGGGUUGGUUGUUUCCUCUGUCGCUUUCAAGGCAGCGCCCACUUCCAAUUUCAUCAGCAAGCAAUUGCAUUUUAGGUCUGGAAAUUCAACCAAGACCCAAGAAAGGCUCCAGGCGACUCAUGCGGCUACAAAUGAUUCAUGAAGCUAAGCCUCAAUGAAGAUUCAAGCUUCUGAUCUGGAAUGACAACACAAGAAGAUUUCAAAUUUCAACAUUGAAAAAUGAAAUUUGGUACACGAAUAAAAAUGUAUUGAAAUAUUGUUUGGGGAAUUUUCGGGAUUGCUUUUCAUAUCACGGUUCAACCAUGGUGUGUAGAAGGAUGUCACCUUUCUUAUCAUAAAGCUUGAUGUUUGAGGGUGAUUAUAUCAAAUGGGAAAAGAAAAGAAAUCUCAUUCAAUGGAAGUUGUUUCUGUAUAAAGUGGAGAUCAUAUAUAUAGGUAUCCUUCUUUAAUAACAUAUUGAGUUAUGUAGGUAGGCUUUAUAGGUUAUCCUAUUGUAUAGUUAUGUUUGACCCAUAAUAAGUUUAUCAUUUUCGAAUUGGGUCUUAGUUUUAGGUCUAUUGGUCUUUAUUUCGCAUUGUAUCUCAUUGUAUGGCUGCACGUAUAAAUAUACAAUUUAAGGUUAACCAAGUUAUGGUUUACUUUUCAUGAACUCAAAUAAUGGCGCUUCAUGAUAGCAUUAUUUAAUUGGUA